GUAUAGAAGGAACCGAUACUCCCUGAACCAAGAACGAGAUACAAUCUUAGGGUGUUGUUAUUGUAACUGGUUCUUUGCAAUGCAAAGUAAGAGCACAAAAAAUGAAUCUAUUCUUCAUCUCUUUUCUAUAUAACCUGUUCAAAUCCCAAACCAACUGAUUUAGAGGUAAGCUGGCAAUUCAAUUGCAAUUCUAUGCAGAAAAACUAGCCUGACAUCGAAGCUAACUCGAGCUUCUUUUUACUCUUUAUCACAUCAAUGUAAAAGAGUCCAUUUUUGUUACUAGUACACAUACCUUUGUAACACAGUAAUAAGAGU